AUACUUAGGGUGCAAGCGUUAAUCGGAAUUACUGGGCGUAAAGCGCUCGUAGGCGGCUUGUUAAGUCGGAUGUGAAAUCCCCGGGCUCAACCUGGGAACUGCAUUCGAUACUGGCAGGCUAGAGUAUAGUAGAGGCAAGUGGAAUUCCGGGUGUAGCGGUGAAAUGCGUAGAUAUCCGGAGGAACAUCAGUGGCGAAGGCGACUUGCUGGACUAAUACUGACGCUGAGGAGCGAAAGCGUGGGGAGCAAACGGGAUUAGAUACCCCAGUAGUCC
rnacentral:rRNA from 1 species